rnacentral:lncRNA from 10 species
CUCCUGUCCUGUAUCAAUACCAUCGUGAAGCAAAACUGCUCUGAUGGCUGCUUGACUCCUGCAUACCAAGGUGUUCUGCAGCAGCGUUUUUAAGUGAUGCCUGUAGCACAGAUAACCCUUCACAGCUUACCUGGGCCAGGGUAACCCGCUGGGGUCCCCUUCUACACUGUGGAAGCUUUGUUCUUUGCAAUAAAUCUUGCUACUGCUUACUCUUUGGGUCCACAUUGCUUUUAUGAGCUAUAACACUCACCGCGAAGGUCUGCAGCUACACUCCUGAAGCUAGCGAGACCAUGAGCCCACUGGGAGGAAAAAACAACUCCAGACGCGCUGCCUUAAGAGCUGUAACACUCACCGCGAAGGUCUGCAGCUUCACUCCUGAGCCAGCGAGACCACGAACCCAACAGAAGGAAAAAUCUCCGAACACAUCCAAACAUCAGAAGGAACAAACUCCAGUGCGCCACCUUAAGAGCUGUAACACUCACCACGAGGGUCCGCGGCUUCAUUCCUGAAGUCAGUGAGACCAAGAACCCGCCAAUUCCAGACACGUUUUGGCAACCCAGAUGGGACUUUCGCCUAUCGCCAAGUGGUGAGACAAUCGCCGAGCAGUGAGACCAUCGCCUAUUGCUGAGCAGUGAGUACCAUCGGACCCCUUUCACUUGCUAUUCUGUCCUGU